UACAGAGGGGGCAAGCGUUGUUCGGAAUUACUGGGCGUAAAGGGCGCGUAGGCGGCCUGUUAAGUCGAACGUGAAAUCCCCGGGCUCAACCCGGGAACUGCGUCCGAUACUGGCAGGCUUGAAUCCGGGAGAGGGAUGCGGAAUUCCAGGUGUAGCGGUGAAAUGCGUAGAUAUCUGGAGGAACACCGGUGGCGAAGGCGGUUAGCUGGGCAGUUGCUGACACUGAGGCGCGACAGCGUGGGGAGCAAACAGG
rnacentral:rRNA from 1 species